UGGGGAAUUUUGGACAAUGGGGGCAACCCUGAUCCAGCAAUGCCGCGUGUGUGAAGAAGGCCUUCGGGUUGUAAAGCACUUUUGUCCGGGAAGAAAUCGCACCUGAUAAUACCGGGUGUGGAUGACGGUACCGGAAGAAUAAGGACCGGCUAACUACGUGCCAGCAGCCGCGGUAAUACGUAGGGUCCAAGCGUUAAUCGGAAUUACUGGGCGUAAAGCGUGCGCAGGCGGUUGUGCAAGACCGAUGUGAAAUCCCCGGGCUUAACCUGGGAAUUGCAUUGGUGACUGCACGGCUAGAGUGUGUCAGAGGGGGGUAGAAUUCCACGUGUAGCAGUGAAAUGCGUAGAGAUGUAGAGGAAUACCGAUGGCGAAGGCAGCCCCCUGGGAUAACACUGACGCUCAUGCACGAAAGCGUGGGGAGCAAACAGG
rnacentral:rRNA from 2 species